ACACGACUCUCGGCAACGGAUAUCUAGGCUCUCGCAUCGAUGAAGAACGUAGCAAACUGCGAUACUUGGUGUGAAUUGCAGAAUCCCGUGAACCAUCGAGUCUUUGAACGCAAGUUGCGCCCGAAGCCAUUAGGCCGAGGGCACGUCUGCCUGGGCGUCACGCAUCACG
rnacentral:rRNA from 1 species